GACGAACGCUGGCGGCGUGCUUAACACAUGCAAGUCGAACGGUAAGGCCCUUCGGGGUACACGAGUGGCGAACGGGUGAGUAACACGUGGGUGAUCCGCCCUGCACUUCGGGAUAAGCCUGGGAAACUGGGUCUAAUACCGGAUAGGACUCCUGGCUUCAUGGUUGGGGGUGGAAAGCUUUUGCGGUGUGGGAUGGGCCCGCGGCCUAUCAGCUUGUUGGUGGGGUAAUGGCCUACCAAGGCGACGACGGGUAGCCGGCCUGAGAGGGUGACCGGGCACACUGGGACUGGGAUACGGCCCAGACUCCUACGGGAGGCAGCAGUGGGGAAUAUUGCACAAUGGGCGCAAGCCUGAUGCAGCGACGCCGCGUGAGGGAUGACGGCCUUCGGGUUGUAAACCUCUUUCAGCUAUGACGAAGCGCAAGUGACGGUAGUAGCAGAAGAAGGACCGGCCAACUACGUGCCAGCAGCCGCCGUAACAC
rnacentral:rRNA from 1 species